rnacentral:tRNA from 2 species
AGGGUUGUAUUUAAAAAUAAUAUCUGAUUUGCAUUCAGAAGGUGCUGCAUUAGUCUUCCUUA